AAUACCUUGGCUUCUCUUUUCUCUCUCUCCUUCCAUCUCUUCAUGGGCCGCUAGACUAGCAGAACCCAGUCAGGUGCCAUGAAGCAAAGGAGCACAUUGAUGUGGUCCAUGCAAGUCAGCCUGCCAGAGCAGAGAGUGGGUCAAGAUGGGCAACAAAAGCUGUGUAGUAAUCAGCCUCCCCAGUGCUACUGAAUAACUUCAAAAUCCACGGAACCUCUACACACAACCAUAUCCUCAGCAUUAUUUGAAGACCAAGAAUGCCAACCCUGCAAAGGACAAGAACUUGGGGAAUGCUGAGUCCACCAUGGCUUCCUGAAAAAUCUACUAGGAGAUGAACUUCCUCCACAGAAUGAUGACUGGGGAAAAUUCAGCAAAAGGACUGAAGUGAGCAUUGUAGAAAAUACAUACACAUGUGUACUUAAGAAUAAAGCAAAGGUGGGGCA